rnacentral:rRNA from 1 species
GGUCAAGCAAAGAAGGGCUGAUGGUGGAUACCUAGGCACACGAAGGCGAUGAAGGACGUAGCAACCUACGAAAAGUCUCGGGGAGUCGGAAGCAGACCAUGAGCCGAGAGUGUCCGAAUGGGGCAACCCUAAAAACAUAUCCUUUAGGAUAAUGAGCGAACCUGGUGAACUGAAACAUCUUAGUAGCCAGAGGAAGAGAAAACAAAA